rnacentral:misc_RNA from 1 species
UCGCGGCUUAUCACCGGCAGUCCCCUUAGAGUGCCCAACUAAAUGAUGGCAACUAAGGGCGAGGGUUGCGCUCGUUGCGGGACUUAACCCAACAUCUCACGACACGAGCUGACGACAGCCAUGCAGCACCUGUCUCUCGGUUCCCGAAGGCACCCCCACAUCUCUGCAGGGUUCCGAGGAUGUCAAGGCCAGGUAAGGUUCUUCGCGUUGCAUCGAAUUAAUCCACAUCAUCCACCGCUUGUGCGGGUCCCCGUCAAUUCCUUUGAGUUUUAAUCUUGCGACCGUACUUCCCAGGCGGAGUGCUUAUUGCGUUAGCGUCGCCACGGCAGGGGUCAAUACCCACCACAGCUAGCACUCAUCGUUUACAGCGUGGACUAC